UACCUGCAGGAAACAUUGAAAGA
rnacentral:snRNA from 1 species